rnacentral:lncRNA from 10 species
CCUCAAUGGGGAGAGAGGUUAUGACUCAGCCAGUUAAUUUGACUGGACCCUACCUUCCUAACUAGAAGGAUUUGCCCUGAGAGUUCUUUGCUCACCCCUGGUUGGGGAGCAGGAUGGGCAUAGGUGGUUGUGUUUGUCCAAGGGGUGAUUAUAUUACAGUGGUUCCAUAAGAGGCCUGCCCAUCUGGCUUUCCUGUUUUUGAGCAGGGACCUGCAUGCUUUUGGGAUGUCUGUAGGGCUCCUGACCUCUCAAAGGCCACCCACCACUACUCAAUGGUAUUUUUGCCUUCCAGCUGAGCUGGCUCCUUGUUCUAGCUUCUCAAGUAAAUGUUCCCUCCCCAGUACCUUAGCCUGCCCUGGACUUGUAGCUUCUCCAAGAGUCACGUGACUCCUGACACUUUGCCCCAUUUUCACCCUCCUAAUUAAUAGGGGUCUGACCCAACAGCCUGAGUUCUGAGUUCCCAGGACUGGAAAGUAGAGUGACCAACCAUCCUGGUUUUCCUGGAACUGAGGGAUGUUCUGGAGUGAGGGACUUUCAAUGCCAAAACUUGGAAAAUGCUGGGCAGAUGGGAAAGAGUUGAUCACCCUACUGGAAAUGUUCCAGAGAGGCAGUAUUUAGAAGGGAGUACUGAAGGGGCAAUGCAGUUGCAAAGAAUUAUUUUUUUGCAUAUGCAUAAUGGCUGACAGAUUCUUAGCUCCACACCAGUGGUCACUGUCUGUUUCCAUGUUGCCAUUUUUCUUCCAGUUGCCCACAUUUGCUAGGUUGUCAUUGACUCAUGCAAUCCUUGAUCCCUGGGGCAAUCGCAGAUUCCUCUUCUGUGACCACCUCCCAGCCCCACCUCAAGUCUGGCCCUGAGUUCUCUCUGCUGUUACCUUUUGCAGUGGCCAGAUAUAUACUCCCUUUUUCAGGUCUCUACCAGUCUCUGAUCCAACCUGCGCCCACAGCCAGAUUGGCCUACCCUAAACAAUGGUCUCUUGUCUCUCUUCUCUAAAACCUCCAGGGACCAUGCUCUAAAGUACAAUGCCUAAGUCCCUACCUGUGGCCCUUUCUCCUCCCCUUUCUCUGUAAAUCCUUUGCUUCUUUCCUUUAGGCUCAGUCACCUUUAUAGAGACCAAGAGCAUGGGCUCCUGAGUCGGACAAGCAAACAGCUCAGUCCCUGUGCCACCACUUACAAACUGUGACCUGGCCAAGUUUCCUCAGGGUUCUGUAAUUCAGUCUCAUCCUUAAAAUGGAAAGAAAAGUCUCUGUCCUGUUGGGUUAUUUUAAGGAUUAAUACCUGCAAAGCACUUGGAACUGCUUAAUAAGUGGUACUGUCUGAAAAUGCCAGAUUCCCUUCUGCCUUCCAGCCUUGUUCACUUUCCAAGGAAUAUUCUCUCUUGGGCCCUCCACCUGCAACUAAGGCCCU